CGAUCUCCUAUAAAUAGGAAAUCCAUUCCGAUUGGAUCCAGAUCUGUUCUUAUCUGGGGAGGGAGACGAGAAUCCUGAAGAUUUGGCAAUUGAGAUCCUCGUUUCCUCCUUACACCUAUAAAGGCAUCAACCAUCUUAUCUACCGUAAAAUGAUAAAUGAAGAAGUUGCUUCUGGAACAAAACCUUUAACCUUACUGUGCACUCUUUUGUAUUGUGUCCAUAAGAUUUUUCUGUUUAGGCUCUUCAUCAGAGUGAUUACUGAUGAUGUGCUUGACUCUAUACAAGAUGCUCUGGCUGACGAGCGAAUUUCAAUAGACUCAUCCUGUUGAGAGAAUGAUUCUAGAGACUGUUUUAUUACCUUUUCAGCUCUAUAUUCUUUUGAGAGAAUACAGAUGAGCAACAGUUACCUCAAUUUUGAAAACACCUUUUCUCCUUGAGAGGUAGAGCUGUGGGUACACUAUCCCUCACAUCCUUAUUUGCUGCAACAAGUACAGUUUCUCCCUUAUUGACCUCUAGUCUAAUAAGUUCCUUAUCACUCCAGGGGGAAAGGUGAGAUGUGUUCUGAAUUUGGU
rnacentral:lncRNA from 1 species